AAUAUUUCAUCCACAAACUGACUUUGUGCAAGGGAGAGAACAGAAGGCUGCUCAGGGGGGCAGAGCCACUUUGAUUGUAGCUUCAGCACAGUGGAACAACUUCAUCUGCAGCGGUUAAGCAGAACCCCUUCACUUCAGGGGCAGCCUUACUGAACGAAUGCACCGUGGGUCUGACAGAGGACUAGAAAGACAAUAUUUCCCAGUCAGCAAAACUCUCCCCCUGUAUCCUUUCCAAAGGGACAGUCAUGCGUUAGUUAAGCAACACCACUAGAUGAGAUCUGGUACACUUUUUCCUAGCUUGCCUGGAGGCAAAGCUGUGGACUGAAUAAAUGAAUGUUUGCAACCCAGCAAAAUGGAACUAUUUCUCUCAGAGAACUGCAGAUAAGCAUGACAAUAACUGUGAAGAGAUAACUGAAGAGCAAAGGGCAGAUCUUCUCAUCACUUACAGUCCUUGAGAAACAUCAGUCUCACUUAGAUGAGCUGUUUAGACAAGUGCUAUAGGAGGUUGGGGAAUAAAACAAAGCAGAAAAUAUUUUACCCUUAACAAAAGGAGGCAGGCAAUUUAGUGCUGUAAUAACAAAAGAAGUGUUUUGCUGUUAAGGAAAACAAUUAUUUUUAAUUUGGCUGCACAUUUUAAGUUAGAUACCCCAUCUACAAUAUGUUCUGUAUGAGGUCUAAUUAUUGAU